UCUCUUUUAUGAUACCAUCUUUUUCUCUACUUUUUUGCAAUGGGUUUGCCACCAGAACACAGGUGUCAUGAAAACCACCACUCAACCUAAACCAAAAUGGGAAAGGAAAAGGCUCACAUCAACAUUGCCGUCAUUGGACACGU